rnacentral:rRNA from 1 species
UACGUAGGGGGCGAGCGUUGUCCGGAUUUAUUGGGCGUAAAGAGCUCGUAGGCGGUUCGAUAAGUCGGACGUGAAAUCUCCACGCUCAACGUGGAGGGGCCGUUCGAUACUGUCGUGACUCGAGUCCGGUAGGGGAGUGUGGAAUUCCCGGUGUAGCGGUGAAAUGCGCAGAGAUCGGGAAGAACACCCGUGGCGAAGGCGGUUCUCUGGGACGGUACUGACGCUGAGACGCGAAAGCGUGGGGAGCGAACAGG